ACUUGCUUCAAUAAAAUGCCUCAAAGGCACCAGAUCCUAUUUGAUCUUGGAAGCUAAGCAAGGUCAGACAUGGUAAGUACUUGGAUGGAAGAUCACUAAUGGAUACCAGGUGCAAUUG
rnacentral:rRNA from 1 species